AUUGAACGCUGGCGGCAUGCCUUACACAUGCAAGUCGAACGGCAGCGGGGACUUCGGUCCGCCGGCGAGUGGCGAACGGGUGAGUAAUGUAUCGGAACGUACCAUUGAGUGGGGGAUAACUAUCAGAAAGGAUAGCUAAUGCCGCAUAUUCUCUCCGGAGGAAAGCAGGGGACCGCAAGGCCUUGCGCUCAUUGAGCGGCCGAUAUCAGAUUAGCUAGUUGGUGAGGUAAAGGCUCACCAAGGCGACGAUCUGUAGCGGGUCUGAGAGGAUGAUCCGCCACACUGGAACUGAGACACGGUCCAGACUCCUACGGGAGGCAGCAGUGGGGAAUUUUGGACAGUGGGGGCAACCCUGAUCCAGCCAUGCCGCGUGAGUGAAGAAGGCCUUCGGGUUGUAAAGCUCUUUCGGCCGGGAAGAAGUGUAUUGUGGUUAAUACCCGCGAUACUUGACGGUACCCCUAAAGGAAGCACCGGCUAACUCCGUGCCAGCCGCCGCCGUAACAC
rnacentral:rRNA from 1 species